GAUGAACGCUGGCGGCGUGCCUAAUACAUGCAAGUCGAGCGAACAGACGAGGCGCUUGCUCCUCUCACGUUAGCGGCGGACGGGUGAGUAACACGUGGAUAACCUACCUAUAAGUCUGGGAUAACUUCGGGAAACCGGAGCUUAUACCGGAUAAUAUAUUGAUCCGCAUGGUUCAUUAGUGAAAGACGGUUUUGCUGUCACUUAUAGCUGGAUCCGCGCCGCAUUAGCUAGUUGGUAAGGUAACGGCUUACCACGGCAACGAUGCGUAGCCGACCUGACAGGGUGAUCGGCCACACUGGAACUGAAACACGGUCCAGAGGCCUACGGGAGGCAGCAGUAGGGAAUGUUCCGCAAUGGGCGAAAACCUGGCGGAGCAACGCCGCGUGAGUGAUGAAGGUCUUGGGAUCGUAAAACUCUGUUAUUAGGGAAGAACAAAUGUGUAAGUAACUAUGCACGUCUUGACGGUACCUAAUCAGAAAGCCACGGCUAACUACGUG
rnacentral:rRNA from 1 species